GACGAACGCUGGCGGCGUGCUUAACACAUGCAAGUCGAACGGCAAGGCACUGCUUUUGUGGUGUGCUCGAGUGGCGAACGGGUGAGUAAGACGUGAGUAACCUGCCCUAGACUUUGGGAUAACUUAAGGAAACUGGGGCUAAUACCGGAUAGGAGCUCCUGUUGCAUGGUGGGGGUUGGAAAUUUUCGGCGGUUGGGGAUGGACGGGCGGCUUAUCAGCUUGUUGGUGGGGUAGGGGCUUACCAAGGGUUUGACGGGUAGCCGGCAUGAGAGGGUGACCGGCCACAUUGGGACUAAGGGACGGAGCAGACUCCUACGUGAGGCAACAGGGGCGAAUAUGGCACAGUGGGCGGAAGCCUGAUGCAGCAACGCCGCGUGCGUGAUGACGUUCUGUGGGUUGUAAACCGCUUUCGCCUGUGACGAAGCGGUAGUGACGGUAAUGGGUAAAGAAGCACCGGCUAACUACGUG
rnacentral:rRNA from 1 species